UACAGAGGUCUCGAGCGUUUGUUCGGAUUCAUUGGGCGUAAAGGGUGCGUAGGUGGCGCUGUAAGUCGGGUGUGAAAUCCUGAGGCUUAACCUCGGAACUGCAUUCGAUACUGCGGCGCUUUGAGGACUGGAGAGGAGACUGGAAUUCAUGGUGUAGCAGUGAAAUGCGUAGAGAUCAUGAGGAAGACCAGUGGCGAAGGCGGGUCUCUGGACAGUUCCUGACACUGAGACACGAAGGCCAGGGGAGCAAACGGGG
rnacentral:rRNA from 1 species